CAAUGCCUCAUCCUCCCUUCUCCACUUUAUCCAUGCCCAGAUCUGAUAGAGAACAGAUCUAAGAUGAGAAAAGAGAGAGAAGAAGAGAAGAAGAAGGGUUCUUCUUUUCAUCACGGUGAUCUAGUUCAGAUCCCAUCGGAUCUGUGCGAAAGAGUUCGUGCAGUGAUCUUCUACUUCAAGAUCAGAAAGAAGAGAUCUAGAUCCAAGGAUGCAAAGCGAGAUUUGCAAGAUGCUAGCACACCGGUGAUCUCGAUGCUUUGAUUAGAUAGCUCCAUGUAGAUACCA
rnacentral:lncRNA from 1 species